UGCAGCCGCAGAAGAGCACACACCAACAUAGGCAGAUAUGCAACAUUUCCCCCCGUUGAAAUUCCACCCUCCAUAUGUUGGACCGACUAUAUGAACAGAGAAAGGCCAUAAACAAUAUUUUAAAGAUCCAAGCGGACAGGAGUACUCCUCUGUGUAACUUCGAUGUCAGCCAGUGG